UCUCGCACCUCCACCCCCGCUCUUCUCCCUCCCCUUCCCACUGCCUCCGCCGCCGACGCCUCCAUAGACCGCACGCGCCCCCCCGCCCUCGAUGAAGCCGGAAGCCAUGGUCGCCGCCUGCAAAAGGUUGGGUGCGUCUCCUGCUAAGAGUGCCAUCGCGAGGGUUGUGGGGUGAUCCCUAAACGCACCAACCUGCCAAGCCAGAGGUCCCUCCUUUUUUUAGCACUAUCCUUUGCUCCAUUCCUACUCAGCUUAAUUUUGCCUACUACUAGUACUACCGAUCCCAGGCUCGAGCUUCUCAAGAUUAUUAUCGUCCAUGUUUUACUUCAUUGGCGGUUGGCACGCUUGUGGUUGUGGAUUUCGAUCGGUGUGGAGUGUGGUUGCUUUCUUAGAUCGAUGUAUACAUAUUCUUGUCGCUGGAGCUAUCUUUUUGAGCCAUUUAAGAAGAAAUGGCCCACUAUGUAAAUAACGCUAAAAAUAAAAACACCCACUAGGAAUCAAACAUAGGCCAUGUACUCCAAUACACAUGCACUGUAGUUCGUUUGCUGAGUUGAAUGAAUAAUUUACGGUAUUUGAUAUUGACACAAAAGGACAUAUGCACCGCAGCUAAUGAUUACUUGGUUCAUGAGAUUGUGUUAAAACGACAAAUAAUAUUAAA